rnacentral:lncRNA from 1 species
AUUAUGAUAGUAAGUUUGGCAUGUGAGGCAAAGUCAAUGCAAAAUAUGCUGACACAUAUAUGGUGAAUUGCUCGAGUUUUAAGGUGGCGGUUUGGACGCUUAGGUGGUAGCAUCAAUAGUCUACGGGCCUUGUCUUUGUAAGCCCUUUAGGUCCUGUCCUUAAAAGCUUUUGGGCCAUGAUUAAUAUAUAAAAAUUUUAAAAAAAUCAAAAAAAUAAUAAAAUAAAAAAAUAGUAAAUUCUAGACAGAAAUAGAAUGCUAUUAUGUAUUUCUGUUGACCCCAUAUAGAUUAAAAAGAGUAAGAGUCCCUUACUUUUUUCAAUGGAAGUAGACGUGUGCAUCGUGUAGAGAAAGCAAAAAGGAAGAAACCCCAGCCACCGGUGUCGGUCUCCGAUGACCGAUGGUUGGUCUUUGAUCAUUUAUCUUCUUUU